rnacentral:sRNA from 1 species
CCACUAAAUGAAGUUUCUGCGCGCUCGGUCGAAGAGGACGACCUUCCUCGAAUAGAGGAGGACCGGUCUUCAGUCAAGGGUAUACGAGUAGCUGAGCUCCCCUGCUAGAACCUCCAAACAAGCUCUCAAGGUUCCUGAACAUGUUAAGU